GACGAACGCUGGCGGCGUGCUUAACACAUGCAAGUCGAACGGAAAGGCCCCUUUGGGGGUACUCGAGUGGCGAACGGGUGAGUAACACGUGAGUAACCUGCCCUCGACUUCGGGAUAACUUCAGGAAACUGGGGCUAAUACAGGACAGGAAUCCUUGCCGCAUGGUGGGGGUUGGAAAGCUUCGGCGGUUUGGGAUGGACUCGCGGCUUAUCAGCUUGUUGGUGGGGUAGUGGCUUACCAAGGCUUUGACGGGUAGCCGGCCGGCGAGGGCGACCGGCCAAAUUGGGACUGAGUAACGGCCAGGACUCUACCGGGAGGAAGAGGUGGGGAAUAUGGCACAAGGGGCGGAGCCCUGAUGCAGCAAGGCCGCGUGGGGGAUGACGGCCUUCGGUUGUUAAACCGCUUUCGCAUGGGAGAAGGCUGGGGUGACGGUACCUGCAGAAGAAGCACCGGCUAACUACGUG
rnacentral:rRNA from 1 species